AUGGGCAUGCUUCCAACUAAUAAAAGAAUGUUUACUUCCAACAGGCCUAUCAAGAAGACCAUGGUUGCAGCCCUCGACAAGCUGACCAAGCAAUCCCUUGUCUCAGGAAUACUUCAUGAAGUGGGAGACCAGGCGGAAUUGGCGGGCAUCUCCACCCGGAGCGGCUCCACCACGUCGAAGGUUUCCUUUAAGAUCACGCUGACGUCGGACCCGCGGCUGCCUUACAAAGUACUUAGUGUUCCUGAAAGUACACCUUUCACAGCAGUGUUAAAGUUUGCAGCAGAAGAAUUUAAAGUUCCUGCAGCAACAAGUGCAAUUAUUACCAAUGAUGGAAUAGGAAUAAAUCCUGCCCAGACUGCUGGAAAUGUUUUCCUAAAGCAUGGUUCAGAACUGCGAAUUAUUCCUAGAGAUCGUGUUGGAAGUUGGUAAUAUCUGCUACCUGGAACAUAAGAUGACCUUUCCAAAUAAAUAUUGGUAUUGUUGUAAAA